rfam:Loxodonta africana unplaced genomic scaffold scaffold_50, whole genome shotgun sequence.
GCAAUGGUGGUUCAGUAGUAAAAUUCUCACCCUACAUGUGGGAGACGGGGGUUCGAUUCCCAGCCAAUGCA